rnacentral:rRNA from 1 species
CUACGGGUUGCACCAGUGGGGAAUAUUGCACAAUGGGCGCAAGCCUGAUGCAGCCAUGCCGCGUGUAUGAAGAAGGCCCUCGGGUUGUAAAGUACUUUCAGCGGGGAGGAAGGGAGUAAAGUUAAUACCUUUGCUCAUUGACGUUACCCGCAGAAGAAGCACCGGCUAACUCCGUGCCAGCAGCCGCGGUAAUACGGAGGGUGCAAGCGUUAAUCGGAAUUACUGGGCGUAAAGCGCACGCAGGCGGUUUGUUAAGUCAGAUGUGAAAUCCCCGGGCUCAACCUGGGAACUGCAUCUGAUACUGGCAAGCUUGAGUCUCGUAGAGGGGGGUAGAAUUCCAGGUGUAGCGGUGAAAUGCGUAGAGAUCUGGAGGAAUACCGGUGGCGAAGGCGGCCCCCUGGACGAAGACUGACGCUCAGGUGCGAAAGCGUGGGGAGCAAACAGGAUUAGAUACCCCAGUAGUC